rnacentral:rRNA from 1 species
AACCUCCGCAAUGUGAGAAAUCGCGACGGGGGGAUCCCAAGUGCCAUUCUUAACGGGAUGGCUUUUCAUUAGUGUAAAGAGCUUUUGGAAUAAGAGCUGGGCAAGACCGGUGCCAGCCGCCGCGGUAACACCGGCAGCUCUAGUGGUAGCAAUUUUUAUUGGGCCUAAAGCGUCCGUAGCCGGUUUAAUAAGUCUCUGGUGAAGUCCUGCAGCUUAACUGUGGGAAUUGCUGGAGAUACUAUUAGACUUGAGAUCGGGAGAGGUUAGAGGUACUCCCAGGGUAGAGGUGAAAUUCUGUAAUCCUGGGAGGACCGCCUGUUGCGAAGGCGUCUAACUGGAACGAUUCUGACGGUGAGGGACGAAAGUUAGGGGCGCGAACCGGAUUAGAUACCCGGGUAGUCCUAACUGUAAACGAUGCGGACUUGGUGUUGGGGUGGCUUUGAGCUGCUCCAGUGCCGAAGGGAAGCUGUUAAGUCCGCCGCCUGGGAAGUACGGUCGCAAGACUGAAACUUAAAGGAAUU